AGUAAUACAUAAGUAACCUGCCCUAGACAGGGGGAGUAACUAUUGGAAACGAUAGCUAAGACCGCAUAGGUACGGACACUGCAUGGUGACCGUAUUAAAAGUGCCUCAAAGCACUGGUAGAGGAUGGGCUUAUGGCGCAUUAGCUGGUUGGCGGGGUAACGGCCCACCAAGGCGACGAUGCGUAGCCGACCUGAGAGGGUGACCGGCCACACUGGGACUGAGACACGGCCCAG
rnacentral:rRNA from 1 species